GCCGGGGUGGCGGAAUGGCAGACGCGCACGACUCAAAAUCGUGUAAGGCUAACACCUUGUGUGGGUUCAAGUCCCACCCUCGGCA
rnacentral:tRNA from 1 species